rnacentral:rRNA from 1 species
CGAGAGAGAGCUUGCUUUCUCGAGCGAGUGGCGAACGGGUGAGUAACGCGUGAGGAACCUGCCUCAAAGAGGGGGACAACAGUUGGAAACGACUGCUAAUACCGCAUAAGCCCACAGCUCGGCAUCGAGCAGAGGGAAAAGGAGCAAUCCGCUUUGAGAUGGCCUCGCGUCCGAUUAGCUAGUUGGUGAGGUAACGGCCCACCAAGGCAACGAUCGGUAGCCGGACUGAGAGGUUGAACGGCCACAUUGGGACUGAGACACGGCCCAGACUCCUACGGGAGGCAGCAGUGGGGAAUAUUGCACAAUGGGGGAAACCCUGAUGCAGCGACGCCGCGUGGAGGAAGAAGGUCUUCGGAUUGUAAACUCCUGUUGUUGAGGAAGACAAUGACGGUACUCAACAAGGAAGUGACGGCUAACUACGUGCCAGCAGCCGCGGUAAAACGUAGGUCACAAGCGUUGUCCGGAAUUACUGGGUGUAAAGGGAGCGUAGACGGCAUGGCAAGUCUGAUGUGAAAGGCCGGGGCUCAACCCCGGGACUGCAUUGGAAACUGUCAAUCUAGAG